rnacentral:rRNA from 1 species
CGUCCGGCGACCGGCGCACGGGUGAGUAACACGUAUGCAACCUGCCCUCUUCAGGGGGACGAACCUUCCGAAAGGGAGGCUAAUCCCGCGUAUAUCGGUUUCGGGCAUCCGAGAUCGAGGAAAGAUUCAUCGGAAGAGGAUGGGCAUGCGGCGCAUUAGCUAGACGGCGGGGUAACGGCCCACCGUGGCGACGAUGCGUAGGGGUUCUGAGAGGAAGGUCCCCCACACUGGUACUGAGACACGGACCAGACUCCUACGGAAGGCAGCAG